UCCUACGGGGGGCAGCAGUGAGGAAUAUUGGUCAAUGGUCGGGAGACUGAACCAGCCAAGCCGCGUGAGGGAUGAAGGUACAGAGUAUCGUAAACCUCUUUUGUCAGGGAACAAAGGCGGGGACGUGUCCCCGGAUGAGUGUACCUGAAGAAAAAGCAUCGGCUAACUCCGUGCCAGCAGCCGCGGUAAUACGGAGGAUGCGAGCGUUAUCCGGAUUUAUUGGGUUUAAAGGGGGCGCAGGCGGUCUGUUAAGUCAGCGGUCAAAGCCCGGGGCUCAACCCCGGCCCGCCGUUGAAACUGGCAGU
rnacentral:rRNA from 1 species